GGUUAAGUGAAUAAGGGCGCACGGUGGAUGCCUUGGCACUAGGAGCCGAUGAAGGACGGGACUAACACCGAUAUGCUUUGGGGAGCUGUACGUAAGCUAUGAUCCAGAGAUUUCCGAAUGGGGGAACCCAACAUCUUUAAUAGGAUGUUACGAUUGUGUGAAUACAUAGCACAUUCGAGGUAGACGCAGAGAACUGAAACAUCUAAGUACCUGCAGGAAGAGAAAGAAAAUUCGAUUCCCUGAGUAGCGGCGAGCGAAACGGGAAAAGCCCAAACCAGCAAGCUUGCUUGUUGGGGUUGUAGGACUCCAAUAUGGUAGUUCUUUCAGAUAGUCGAAUGACUUGGAAAAGUCAGUCAAAGAGGGUAAAAACCCCGUAGACGAAAUGUGGAAGACACCUAGGAGGAUCCUGAGUACGGCGGAACACGAGAAAUUCCGUCGGAAUCCGGGAGGACCAUCUCCCAAGGCUAAAUACUCCCUAGUGACCGAUAGUGAACCAGUACCGUGAGGGAAAGGUGAAAAGCACCCCGGAAGGGGAGUGAAAUAGAACCUGAAACCGUGUGCCUACAACAAGUCAAAGCCCGUUAAUGGGUGAUGGCGUGCCUUUUGUAGAAUGAACCGGCGAGUUACGAUUGCAUGCGAGGUUAAGUUGAAGAGACGGAGCCGCAGCGAAAGCGAGUCUGAAUAGGGCGUUUGAGUAUGUAGUCGUAGACCCGAAACCAUGUGAUCUACCCAUGUCCAGGUUGAAGGUGCGGUAAAACGCACUGGAGGACCGAACCCACGUACGUUGAAAAGUGCGGGGAUGAGGUGUGGGUAGCGGAGAAAUUCCAAACGAACUUGGAGAUAGCUGGUUCUCUCCGAAAUAGCUUUAGGGCUAGCCUCGGAAUUGAGAAUGAUGGAGGUAGAGCACUGUUUGGACUAGGGGCCCAUCUCGGGUUACCGAAUUCAGAUAAACUCCGAAUGCCAUUCAUUCAUAUCCGGGAGUCAGACUGUGAGUGAUAAGAUCCAUAGUCGAAAGGGAAACAGCCCAGACCACCAGCUAAGGUCCCAAAAUAUAUGUUAAGUGGAAAAGGAUGUGGGGUUGCACAGACAACUAGGAUGUUGGCUUAGAAGCAGCCACCAUUUAAAGAGUGCGUAAUAGCUCACUAGUCGAGUGACCCUGCGCCGAAAAUGUACCGGGGCUAAACAUAUUACCGAAGCUGUGGAGUACACCUUUAGGUGUAUUGGUAGGAGAGCGUUCUAAGGGCGUUGAAGGCAGAUCGUGAGGACUGCUGGAGCGCUUAGA
rnacentral:rRNA from 1 species